GACGAACGCUGGCGGCGCGCCUAACACAUGCAAGUCGAACGGAGCUGAGAGAAGCUUGCUUUUCUUAGCUUAGUGGCGAACGGGUGAGUAACGCGUGAGUAACCUGCCCUGGAGUGGGGGACAACAGUUGGAAACGACUGCUAAUACCGCAUAAGCCCACGAUCCGGCAUCGGCUUGAGUGAAAAGGAUUUAUUCGCUUCAGGAUGGACUCGCGUCCAAUUAGCUAGUUGGUGAGGUAACGGCCCACCAAGGCGACGAUUGGUAGCCGGACUGAGAGGUUGAACGGCCACAUUGGGACUGAGACACGGCCCAGACUCCUACGGGAGGCAGCAGUGGGGGAUAUUGCACAAUGGGGGAAAGCCUGAUGCAGCGACGCCGCGUGGAGGAAGAAGGUUUUCGGAUUGUAAACUCCUGUCGUGAGGGACGAUAAUGACGGUACCUAACAAGAAAGCACCGGCUAACUACGUG
rnacentral:rRNA from 1 species